rnacentral:lncRNA from 1 species
UUAGGGCUAAGAGGGGGGCCGGCCAUACAUAGGGAGAUUCAUGGAGUAGACCAUUUCCCUCUGCUGGAAUUUAUCAAUAAUAUUAUCAAAGUAUUCGUGGGCUGCUGGUGGUUGUUGGGUUGCGUCACCCCACUCCAGAUCAGCACUAUCACAAUUGAUUCACACCCCAUAUAGCUAAUAUGAUUUCUGUUACAGUUGAUGUUGUGGUUGGUUCCUCUGACUUCGAAACUGAAAAACAUUCACACUCAUUAGGGUCGUUGUCAUUUACGGGUGGAGGUGGCAGAAGAGUGGGGUAUUUCUCUCUCGCCAUCUUUCUCUCAGCCAAUCUUGCGCCACCAUUUUCCCGCCCUAAGCUUCUGCACCAAUUUAGCUCCAAACCGACAGUGAGAGACAAUGAUUGGUUAUGAUAGAUAAUGAAAACAUUUAGCUUACUAACAUACAUCUUAC